GAUGAAGAACGCAGCAAAAUGCGAUACUUGGUGUGAAUUGCAGAAUCCCGUGAACCAUCGAGUUUUUGAACGCAAGUUGCGCCCGAAGCCAUUAUGCCGAGGGCACGUCUGCCUGGGCGUCACGCAUCGCGUCGCCCCCCACAAUUCUCCGUAAAGGGAACGUGUGUUUUGGGGGCGGAUAUUGGUCUCCCGUGCUCAUGGCGUGGUUGGCCGAAAUAGGAGUCCUUUCGAUGGACGCACGAACUAGUGGUGGUCGUAAAAACCCUCGUCUUUUGUUUCGUGCUGUUGCUCGCAAGGUAAACUCUUUAAAAACCCCAAUGUGUCGUCUCUUGACGACGCUUCGACCGCGACCCCAGGUCAGGCGGGACUACCCGCUGAGUUUAAGCAUAUCAAUAAGCGGAGGA
rnacentral:misc_RNA from 1 species